rnacentral:rRNA from 1 species
AGAGUUUGAUCCUGGCUCAGAACUAACGCUGGCGGCGUGCCUAACACAUGCAAGUCGUACGAGAAAGUCGGCUUCGGCCGAUGAGUAAAGUGGCGCACGGGUGAGUAAUGCGUGGAUAAUCUGCCCUUGAGUUCGGAAUAACGUACCGAAAGGUGCGCUAAUACCGGAUAAUACUGCACAACUACUGUUGUGUAGUCAAAGAUGGCCUCUGUUUACAAGCUUUUGCUGAAGGAUGAGUCCGCGUACCAUUAGCUAGUUGGUGGGGUAAUGGCCUACCAAGGCGACGAUGGUUAGCUGGUCUGAGAGGAUGAUCAGCCACACUGGAACUGAGACACGGUCCAGACUCCUACGGGAGGCAGCAGUGAGGAAUAUUGCGCAAUGGGGGCAACCCUGACGCAGCAACGCCGCGUGAGUGAGGAAGGUUUUCGGACCGUAAAGCUCUGUCGAGCGGGAAGAAAUGCAUGGUGGCUAAUAUCCAUCAUGCUUGACGGUACCGCUAGAGGAAGCACCGGCUAACUCCGUGCCAGCAGCCGCGGUAAUACGGGGGGUGCAAGCGUUGUUCGGAAUUAUUGGGCGUAAAGAGCGUGUAGGCGGCUGAAUAAGUCAGAUGUGAAAUCCCUGGGCUUAACCCAGGACGUGCAUUUGAAACUAUUCAGCUUGAGUAAGGGAGAGGAAAGUGGAAUUCCUGGUGUAGAGGUGAAAUUCGUAGAUAUCAGGAGGAACACCGGUGGCGAAGGCGACUUUCUGGCCCUAUACUGACGCUGAGACGCGAGAGCGUGGGUAGCAAACAGGAUUAGAUACCCUGGUAGUCCACGCUGUAAACGAUGUUCACUAGGUGUUGGGGGUAUUGACCCUCUCAGUGCCGCAGCUAACGCAUUAAGUGAACCGCCUGGGGAGUACGGUCGCAAGAUUAAAACUCAAAUGAAUUGACGG